GGAUGGGUGGCCGAGUGGUUUAAGGCAGCGGUCUUGAAAACCGCCGUGCGGGUAACCGUACCGUGAGUUCGAAUCUCACCCCAUCCG
rnacentral:tRNA from 1 species